GAUGAACGCUGGCGGCGUGCCUAAUACAUGCAAGUCGAGCGAACAGACGAGGAGCUUGCUCCUCUGACGUUAGCGGCGGACGGGUGAGUAACACGUGGAUACCCUACCUAUAAGACUGAGAUAACUUCGCGAAACCGGAGCUAAUCCCGGAUAAUGUAUUGAACCGCAUGGUUCAAUAGUGAAAGACGGUUUUGCUGUCACUUCUAGAUGGAUCCGCGCCGCAUUAGCUAGUUGGUAAGGUAACGGUUUACCAAGGCAACGAUGCGUAGCCGACCUGAGAGGGUGAUCCGCCACACUGGAACUGAGACACGGUCCAGACUCCUACGGGAGGCAGCAGUAGGGAAUCUUGCGCAAGUGGCGAAAGCCUGACGGAGCAACGACGCGUGAGUGAUGAAGGUCUUCGGAUCGUAAAACUCUGUUAUUAGGGAAGAACAAAUGUGUAAGUAACUAUGCACGUCUUGACGGUACCUAAUCAGAAAGCCACGGCUAACUACGUG
rnacentral:rRNA from 1 species